rnacentral:lncRNA from 1 species
UUGAAUUCCAAAUUUUUAUAGGAAGCUCACCACUAAAGUCAUUGUCAUUCAAGUUUAACAUUUCUAAUGAUGAAAUGCGCCCUAUAAAAUUUGGAAUGAUGCCACUUAACGCAUUUGACAUUAAUCUCAUGAGACACAAAUUUUUCAGGUCCUUAACACACUCAGGAAUUUUGCCAGUUAACUUAUUUUGGGCAAGAUUAUGAUAUUCCAAUAAUGUCUACUUGCACAAUGACCUUGGAAUCAAUGUUGUAAUUUUAUAUAUCCGGACAUAAAAAUUUUCGGAUCGGUGCGACGAUUCAGUUCGAAUUGGGUCGGAUAAGAUUCAACACAAAAUCUUUCCAUUAUGUAUCAGCAAAUUAAUGGAAUUCAUAUGAAUCAUAUUCACAAUUUCUAACCUAAUAGAAAAUUAAUAAAUUGAAAAUUUACUUAGUUAAUGAUUCCAUUAGCAAAUUAAGAAAAAGGAAAUUAAGGGGCUGUUUGUUUACCUCUUAAUAGGCUUUUAAUGGUUCAGACCUCUUACUGGUUCAACAAUUAAUGAUUCGGACUGUUUGUUUCAUGAGCAAAUGUCUGAAUGGUUUAGACAUUUGCCUCUAAAUGGCUAAUCAUUAUACUGAGUCUGAAUGGUUAAGACCUCAAAUCUGAACUGGUCAGACAUUUGCCUCUGAACGGUUAAGCGUUAUACUGGCUCUUAAUGGUUUAGACCUCUUACAAGUUCAGCACUUAAUGGUUCAGAUCUCUUACUAAUUCAGCACUUAACCAUAAAGAAGUUGCCAAACAGCCCCUAAUACUAAUUCACAAAUAUGAU